AAGUCGUAACAAGGUUUCCGUAGGUGAACCUGCGGAAGGAUCAUUAACACGCGUAAUCUCUAACGAUUACAAACCAAACUCGUGAACUCGUAAUUUAAUACAGACCGCGAUUAGUAUGCCGCUUUAGUCUUGUAAGGAGUGUGUCGAUUGCUGUGACUCCUUAUGGGCUAGGGUGCUAUGGACUAUUAGGCGCGGUAUAUAAGUCAAAAAUAAACUCACUCAGUAGUCAACUACCUUUACCCCUUAUUGAACUUUUUAAUUAACUGAUCUCCAUAGUCUCUGGCCGAAAGGUCUUAGGCUACACUGGAUCGUAAUCCUUACGAAACAGUAAAGUACAACUCUAAGCAGUGGAUAUCUUGGUUCCCAU
rnacentral:misc_RNA from 1 species